CUUGAUAGAAUUGUCGUCUACUUAUGAGUGCACGACUCAAUGCUUGAGACACUUCAGCGAGUGCCCUUUGUUUUGUAAUUGUUCAUACGCCUAUCAAUAAUAAUUGCUGGAACAUAUGCAUAUGAAGCAAUCUCCUCUGCCGAUCACUCGGUAUGUUGGUACGGCACUUUAAAUUCUUCUCUAUUUAUCAAGUAUCAACAAUUAACUUUUGCAAAUCUUAUAGAGCAAUAAUUUUGACAUUUUUGAAAAACAAUGAGGAUUCAACGUGCAAAUUACACCUGCAAGAAAUUUGAGGAAAAAAUCAGAUGUAACAUAAACUGUAGAUGAACUGUAUCAGUGAAACGAAUUAUCAAUGGCAUUAUUAUCUCAGUGGUAAGAAUUUACUUGUUGAAGUACAAAUCUCUUGAGUUGAAUCGAAAAACCAUUAAUCUUGAAGUGCUGCACUUUGCAUAGAAUUUUUACUAAGGAUCCUCAUUAUUUUCAUACUUGCUUUGCCCUUUCGAGACUUGAUUCGCGUUAUUUGACUCAUAAAAAAAUAUGUAUCUAAUAGGUUGUCUCAGAAUAGUUGCAAAAUCAAAGUUUUAGAACGAGUUUACUUUCGUUUUGUUUUAUUAUUUAAACCUGUUCUAGUAUGAUGUCCCUAUUUGAAAUAAGUUGACAAGAUCGCUAAUUCUUCUCUUUGAUGUAAUCGCUGGCUAGAAACUCUGGAUAGGAGAUAAAAGUUCGUCUCGCCUUUCCACAAUGCCACACUGUGAUUACCUAUGUUGUAGAUAGUGAGUUGUGGUUACAACAAAUGAAUCACGAUUAAAAAUCUUUUCUUGGACGAUGUGAAAUGGCUAAGCGAAUGGUCUGUAACUAUUGUUUAGUAUUUUUAAUAUUUGUCUGUUAUUUUAAGAAUAAUUGCAGCGUUUCGAAGCUGAAGCGGAACUAAGACUGACACAGAAUUCACCUACUUUCUACAGAACCAACACGCGCUACACCAUACCGUGAACCUACACAGAGUAUAUCUAUUUAAUUUUCAAACUUUUACAACACAAUGAGAGUAGUGAACUAAACUGUUGAAUGCACAUCAUAGUCCUUUCUUUGAUUGCCAAUAAUUCGUCCUAUGAUCACUUCUAAUAUCAAGAUAACAGGGGGCACAUGGUCACACACAUCAUUUCCCAUCGAAGGCGAUCGCGGUCCUGCUCAACUUUCUGGUCGAGGGAACCUCCUUGCAGCGUUCGCCAUUGUCCGUCGACAGUCUGUCUGUCUGUCCGCCACCCCGUUCGUCCGUCUCUCCGUGUUUCGUCUGGCCAGCCGUCAAAAGCGAUUCCACAUGCGCUUAGGGAAAUACUCGCAUCCCAGAUUCUCGAUAAGCGAACCACUUGCAGAUUAUGAACUACGGCAAUUUAAUAUACGCGAGAAACAGAUCGAUGGUAAACUCAGCAAGACACGAUUUUAUCAUCGUUCUUAUUGACAACUAUUAAUAUGUAGAUCGGUCAAAGUGAAAACACCCACAGCCCAGGAAGAGGGCAGUAGAGGGGGAUCCAGAUUGUUGCCUUCGGAAAAAUUCGGUACAGUAUCCGAGAGAAGCCGAAUGUCACAGAACCACCGCGUGUGGAUGUAAGGACCUGACGUUCUAGCCGUCCUGAGAUAUUUCAUCUUUUUGAAUUUUCUUUCAUACAAGGUUGGAGAAAAUGUUGGCUACUAACCGCAUCUCACGUACUUAUUUGUUCUACAUCAUCGAUAAAUCGUCUUGGUUUAGUCCUAACUGAUUAUGUUGAGAUAUCAGUCUUGGCAGUUUGAAAACCGUUCAAAAUUAACAAUUCAAUAUCUAUACGUGCAGUUUGAUAGCUGAGAUUGAAAAGUCUAUCAAUGAUUCCUAUAGAUACAGUGUCGGUCCUCGAUUAUUGCUGGGCUUUGUAAGAUGUGUUAUCAAUGGGAGAUAAGGUCCUAAGCAGAUAUAAGUUAUGGAAGAGAUAAAAAAAAAAAAUUCUUUUGAGCAACUACCACUGAAGAUUAUCCUAAUUUACCUUUGAAAGACGUUGAGAACUUUUCGAAAAGUGCUCGAUCUAAGGAGCUUGGAGUACAUCUUGACUCCACAGAUUUCACAUAUGAACACUUAUCACUUCUAGCGUGGACACACUAUACCAACGACGCCACCGCCGGAACACUGGUAACUUACUGAUUAAACCCUGAAUUAUCUUUGAAUUACCGUUUUAUCAUACCUCUUGAUUAGACCAAUAAUAUUGCUUCUUCCAGCAAAGACUUCUAAGUCUAUCGGCUGUUAUUAGUCUGAAAUCGCAACAAUUUAAAUCGAACUAAUGAUAAGAUAUUUGUUGACUGUGCGUAACAAUAAAAAAAAACAGAUUGUAAACAAUAGCUGUUACUUUAAUAUUAGAAAAGAACACGUUCAAGGCUUACAAUAAUAAAUUAUUUUACAGGCAGUCAUAAUCUCCGAUUCUGUGCCUCAUUUUCUGUUAUGAUGUACCAUCGAAGCGAUGCAAGCCACCAGUUUUGGAAUAGUUGUAAUAACAAUAAUUGGAUUCUUUUAACAGGUUUCGAAUAAAGCUUCAGAUAUUUAGACCGUUUUUUUUUUUAGCUAAAAUUAGACUUGCGAGAUUCCCGCACCCUU